AACGUAGGCCAUUCUAGAUGAUUCCGGCAGGGGAGAGACCUCAAUGCCAAGAUGCGGAACCCCUAUCUUCCAAAGGCCAUUCUGGAUUCGAUAUUGAUGUCUCCACAAUGUACAAAUGACCAGAUGCAGCCUAAGUUUUAUAAACAGGCUCCACUCCCUCAGAGAUUCAGAAAGGAAAGAUUCAGGAACAAGUGUAAGAAUAUUCUGGCUGUUUCUGGUAGGAAAUUCUCCUCCUCUGUUAAGUGUCUUAAAACUGGGGUUCCCCGGACCUGUAUGUUCCCCAGAAACUGUAUGUGAUUGUGUGGGGUCACCUGAAGCUGCUGCCUACAGGGAUGGGACAGCCUGAGGAGGCUGAAGUAAUCCCACAGGCACGUUAGCAGACUCUGGCUGUUGCUUAAGAGAAGCCUGGUCUAUCCCGGAAGUCGGAGCUGGCUCCAGAGACCUGAGUUGUCAUGGCUGAGAAUGGCCUUCAGCAAAGCCCAGGGCAGCCAGCCACCUGCUGCAGCUCUGUGGCCUCUUCUUGCCCUGCUGAUGCCCUGUGAAAUAAAUGUGGAACCCUCAC
rnacentral:lncRNA from 1 species